rnacentral:rRNA from 1 species
UCGAACGAGUUCUCGUUGAUGAUCGGUGCUUGCACCGAGAUUCAACAUGGAACGAGUGGCGGACGGGUGAGUAACACGUGGGUAACCUGCCCUUAAGUGGGGGAUAACAUUUGGAAACAGAUGCUAAUACCGCAUAGAUCCAAGAACCGCAUGGUUCUUGGCUGAAAGAUGGCGUAAGCUAUCGCUUUUGGAUGGACCCGCGGCGUAUUAGCUAGUUGGUGAGGUAAUGGCUCACCAAGGCGAUGAUACGUAGCCGAACUGAGAGGUUGAUCGGCCACAUUGGGACUGAGACACGGCCCAAACUCCUACGGGAGGCAGCAGUAGGGAAUCUUCCACAAUGGACGCAAGUCUGAUGGAGCAACGCCGCGUGAGUGAAGAAGGCUUUCGGGUCGUAAAACUCUGUUGUUGGAGAAGAAUGGUCGGCAGAGUAACUGUUGUCGGCGUGACGGUAUCCAACCAGAAAGCCACGGCUAACUACGUGCCAGCAGCCGCGGUAAUACGUAGGUGGCAAGCGUUAUCCGGAUUUAUUGGGCGUAAAGCGAGCGCAGGCGGUUUUUUAAGUCUGAUGUGAAAGCCCUCGGCUUAACCGAGGAAGCGCAUCGGAAACUGGGAAACUUGAGUGCAGAAGAGGACAGUGGAACUCCAUGUGUAGCGGUGAAAUGCGUAGAUAUAUGGAAGAACACCAGUGGCGAAGGCGGCUGUCUGGUCUGUAACUGACGCUGAGGCUCGAAAGCAUGGGUAGCGAACAGGAUUAGAUACCCUGGUAGUCCAUGCCGUAAACGAUGAAUGCUAGGUGUUGGAGGGUUUCCGCCCUUCAGUGCCGCAGCUAACGCAUUAAGCAUUCCGCCUGGGGAGUA